rnacentral:sRNA from 1 species
CUUCCUGUCACCUGAGUCUCCUGAAGAUCCACUGCCUCUCUGUUUGCCUUCAGAAGACCGUUCAAGAGAUAACAACCCAAAAUUAUAAAACAAGAUAUGAAAGCUCUUAUAUCUGGGCUGAACAAGGCAACACAAUAGAAGGAAAUGGGAAACAAGAGCAGGCAAAAGAGUCAGAAACACACCUUCGCCCACUGUUAGGAGUCUUACAAAAGCAGGAAGUGAUGUCCAGAACAUAUGUGCAGAGGACCUAAUGCAGAAUCAAGCAGGUCUUGUAGCUUCAAUUUCUGUGAGAUCAUGUGAGCCUUGCACAGUUUAUCCAGUGGGCCAUGUUCUCUUGAUGUCCUUUAUCCGCUCUGACUCCCACAGUUUUUUCUCACAUUCUUCUGUCAGAUUUCUGGAGCUCCAGGGAGAGAUAGGGUGAAGAACCUGAUGGAUAACUCCAGUUUAGACUCUCUGCAUAACAUCUGUCUGUGAGUCUUGGCACCCACUUCUAUCUGCUGCUGGUAGAAGUUACCUUUCUAGGAGUAUAGCAGACUACCAUUGUGAAGCAUAUCCUUGAUCUGUUUUGCAGUUGUGUUUGGAUUUACCCCAGGUCUCUGGGUUAUCCAGUCUCCCUAAGGUUCCAGAGCUUAGGCUCCCUCACCAAGUGUUGUGGCUGUGUUGGUGCCUGGAUUUCUCUUUUUAUACCCUGAUGAGUACCUUUUCAUGCAAAAAAAACUAGAAUGAAGGGUUGAAGGCUCCAUAUAGACACCAGCUAGACCCUUUUACACUCAAUAAGCUGUGUAGAUAUUGUCCUUAGCACUGGGACUCCACUGCCAAUUUUCAGAAAACAACAUUCUGUUCUAGCAUCUUCCUGGGUUGUUUGGGGAUCCUGAUGGCAUCUCCUCAACCAAUCAACUCAAUCACUGGAAGCCUUGCCUAGAUACAACAUAUGGUCAUAUCCAAUUCCAUAUCCCCCAUUAUUGAGUUCUCAUUUGAUUCACCCUCACCGAUUCCAGAAAGUUGAGCUACACUAAGUUUCCACACCGCCUAUCUUAAAGCAGCAAGAAAGUUUGUCACAGCAUCUUUCUAUUCUUCGAAGGUUCUGUAGUGUUUUGUUGUGAUGGUGAUAGUGUCAAUGUUGAUACUGCUUGUGGAUGCAUUGAAGACAGGCCCUCACUCUGUAGCUUGUGUUGGCCCCAAACUCAUAGUAAUCAUCUAGUGAACCCUUCCAUGUUAUGAUCAUAUAAUGAGCCAUCGCUUUUAUUUUUAUUGUUUAGUACUCUGCGCUAGCAUUUUGCACAAAUAAAACUUACAGAAAUUAAAACUAGUCUUCUCUAAACAUUUGUUGUGUCAACUGAGCUUGUAGAAUGCCAAAGCCUUUGAUAUCCCCUUCAUUGGAAACAGAUCCCAUCUCAACUGAGCUUUCUUUGCUCUUCUGUGAGAAUAGAUUCCUAGUUUAUAAUCAUCUGCCCACCUGCAGAGGCAAAAGUUUAGUCCCAGUUUCAAAAUCCAGUUGUAAAUUUUCUUCUCUUAUUGUUUGUACUAUCUACCUGCUCUUCUUCUAAUGAAGUUUUAAACUCCUAUUGGUUAGUCCUUCUGCAAACUCCUGUUAAUAUUGAUAUUUGUACCUCAUACUAAAAAUUAUAAAUGGUCUUAAUGACAGCAAGAACAUGUGUUAGGAUCACACCCAGGUUAACAGGGUCUGUGGCAAAAAUCAUUACUCAGAAAACUCUCUCAUCAGUCUCUUUUAAAGCUCUAUUAUUCAAAGAAUACUUGUUACUUGGUUCUGUAUUAAGAAUUUCACAAUAAUAUCUUCUCCUUCAUUCCUGUCAAUUUUUCAAAAGGGGUAACUCAUUUAAGACACUGAACAAUACCGUGUAGUGGUUGUGUACCUUUAAUCUAUGCACUUGAGAAGCAUAGGUGGGUGGAUGUCUGGGAGUAUCAGGCCAGCCUGGUGCACUAUAGGGCAACCAGGGCUAUGUAGCAAGACCCUGUCAAAACUAAACAGACACUGGUGAGAACUUCAUACUGUGCUCUAUUAGAAUCUGAGGAAUCGCAUGACUUAAACUAACAUGGAAACCUGCACAGGUGCAAUGAAGUUACACCUCAAGGAAGAAUGAAAUCUCCUUGCACUAUAAGUUUUGCAAGACUACUUCAGGAUGAUUAUGUCAAGGCUGUCGGAGCUCCUCGGUUUGUUAUGAGCAGAUGAAAAUCCAUCAUCAGCCAAUGACAGACCCUGCCUUUCCCUCACUCCAAUUUAAGGCCACAGAUGCGUGAACCUUCAACACAGUACCUUCUGCAGGUGUAACGCUGCCAGACACCGCCUGCGAACAGAUGUCAAUCAUGGCCAUGAGAAAGGGGAAAGUAGAAUUUAAGUUAAUUCUAUUUUCUGAUCUAUCCCUGGCAAGAUUCAUUUAUAAACUUUAAUGAAGUACUCAAGUCAACUCCCUGACUGCAAUCGGUGCUACUGCUAUUUCUUCUUGGAGGGCUUCUUCAAAGAUACCCAGAGAGAAUUCAAUAUGAACCAUCUCCAAGUGACUAUGUAAAGCUACAUGGGACACAGAGGGUAGAAAACCAGGAAGAUGUAAUAUAUUUUCACUGCCAAGGUGGGAACAUUUAACCUGUUCCUGGUAAGAAUUUCCCAAUUGGCUAUCUAAUAAGAAGUAAUCUGCCUUAGAUGCAUAUACACACAAGCCAUAUUAAACAGACUUAGCAGGUUCUAAUUGUAUAAUUAUGUAUUAUAUAUGCAAAAGUAAAAGUAUUGACUAUCAAGUUGAGAGGUCAUGAUGGGGUAAAGAAGGGUUUUAAGGAAAACAGGGAAGAGAGGAUGUGAUAUAAUUAUAUAACCAUUAAUAUGCCUAAUAAAAAAACAGGAUAUCUGUAUGUAUAAGCUGACUCUUAACAGGCAGCUAUGCCAAAUGUUGCAACACAAUUUCCUAUCCCAUUGCUUUGUACAGCAACUGAACCUAGGGUAUUUUCUUAUCUCCAAGUUUUAUAUCAGAGUAUCUAUAUUCUCAGUUAGAUGCACACUUUCUCUUACAGAUUUGAUAACCCUUAAAUGCUUAUUACUUUUGCAGCAAGAAAAACUAGAUUUGUUGAAAAGCAAGUAUACAUAAGUGCAAGCUAAUCUUCCGUAGGAGCAACUCGAAUUUAAAGACAAUUUUCGGUAUUUAUUUUUUAGAAAUAUCUUUGAUUUACAAAGACUGUAUGUUGCAAUUUCUUAGCAAAUAAAAUGAGGAACAUCUUGUAUGCUUAAGUAUUUGUUAUACUCUAGAUAUUUAUUUUAUUGUAUAUUUCGCAUAAUUUUUGAGUAAGACUGAAAUAAGAAGAGAGUAGCAAGGCCAAAGACCUAAUGAUGCUCUGCUAUACUUGUAGACCAGGGUCCUAACAUGAUGAGCAUCAUAGAGGCUUCAUCCAGAGACCCACUGCCAAACAUUAUGUGAAACUUGGAGAAUCCUGUGGAAGUGGGGGAGGAAGGAUUGUAGUAGUCAGAAGGAUUAAGGACACCACAAGAAAACCCAUAGAAUCAACUAAC